rnacentral:rRNA from 1 species
AUACGGAGGAUGCGAGCGUUAUCCGGAUUUAUUGGGUUUAAAGGGAGCGUAGGUGGGAUAUUAAGUCAGCUGUGAAAGUUUGGGGCUCAACCUUAAAAUUGCAGUUGAUACUGGUUUCCUUGAGUACGGUACAGGUGGGCGGAAUUCGUGGCGUAGCGGUGAAAUGCAUAGAUAUGACGAAGAACACCGAUUGCGUAGGCAGCUGACCAGACCGCAAAUGACGCUCAUGCACGAAAGUGCGGGGAUCGAACAGGAUUAGAUACCCUGGUAGUCCGCACAGUAAACGAUGAAUACUUGUUUUCGGCGAUAUAAUGUCGGAGGCAAAGCGAAAGCGAUAAGUAUUCCACCUGGGGAGUACGCCGGCAACGGUGAAACUUAAAGGAAUUGACGGGG